rnacentral:rRNA from 1 species
AGUGAACGCUGGCGGUAGGCCUAACACAUGCAAGUCGAACGGCAGCACAGUAAGAGCUUGCUCUUACGGGUGGCGAGUGGCGGACGGGUGAGGAAUACAUCGGAAUCUACUUUUUCGUGGGGGAUAACGUAGGGAAACUUACGCUAAUACCGCAUACGACCUACGGGUGAAAGCAGGGGAUCUUCGGACCUUGCGCGAUUGAAUGAGCCGAUGUCGGAUUAGCUAGUUGGCGGGGCAAAGGCCCACCAAGGCGACGAUCCGUAGCUGGUCUGAGAGGAUGAUCAGCCACACUGGAACUGAGACACGGUCCAGACUCCUACGGGAGGCAGCAGUGGGGAAUAUUGGACAAUGGGCGCAAGCCUGAUCCAGCCAUACCGCGUGGUGAAGAAGGCCUUCGGGUUGUAAAGCCCUUUUGUUGGGAAAGAAAAGCAGCAGGUUAAUACCCCGCUGUUCUGACGGUACCCAAAGAAUAAGCACCGGCUAACUUCGUG